GAUGAACGCUAGCGGCAGGCCUAAUACAUGCAAGUCGAACGGUGUCUUCGGACAUAGUGGCGCACGGGUGCGUAACACGUAUACAACCUACCUUACAUUGGGGGAUAGCCUUUCGAAAGGGAGAUUAAUACCGCAUAAGACAGUAGCUGGGCAUCCAGCAGCUGUUAAAGAUUUAUCGAUGUAAGCUGGGCAUGCGUCCAAUUAGCUAGUUGGUGAGGUAACGGCUCACCAAGGCAAUGAUUGGUAGGGGAACUGAGAGGUCAAUCCCCCACACUGGCGCUGAGAUACGGGCCAGACUCCUACGGGAGGCAGCAGUAGGGAAUAUUGGGCAAUGGACGCAAGUCUGACCCAGCCAUGCCGCGUGCAGGAUGAAGGCGUUAUGCGUUGUAAACUGCUUUUAUACAGGAAGAAACGACUCUUGCGAGAGGCAUUGACGGUACUGUAUGAAUAAGCACCGGCUAACUCCGUGCCAGCCGCCGCAGUAACAC
rnacentral:rRNA from 1 species